GACGUAGGGCGCGAGCGUUGUCCGGAUUUAUUGGGCGUAAAGGGCGCGUAGGCGGCCACCGCAAGUCGACUGUGAAAUCUCCGGGCUUAACCCGGAAAGGUCAGCCGAUACUGCGGGGCUAGAGUGCAGAAGGGGCAACUGGAAUUCUCGGUGUAGCGGUGAAAUGCGUAGAUAUCGAGAGGAACACCUGCGGCGAAGGCGGGUUGCUGGGCUGACACUGACGCUGAGGCGCGAAAGCUAGGGGAGCGAACGGG
rnacentral:rRNA from 1 species